AAAUUUUCUUCUUUCAACAAAUUUGGUAUUGAAACUCUAUGAUGUAAAUCCUAAAACUUCCAACGAAUUAUAAGACUUGAUAUGACUAAUUUUUUUCUGAACACUACAGAGUACUACUGUUAAAUUAAUUGUAUUAUGUGCCCUUAAUUUGUGAAGGUGGCAUCAAAUUGGCUUCUUGCUUUUACUCUUACUGCUAACAUUUAUGCUUUGUGCAGGCUACUUUUAAGCACCUGAAAG
rnacentral:misc_RNA from 1 species